rnacentral:tRNA from 1 species
CGGGGCGUAGCGCAGUCUGGUAGCGCACCUGUAUGGGGUGCAGGUGGUCAGAGGUUCAAAUCCUCUCGUCCCGACCA